rnacentral:rRNA from 1 species
UACAGAGGGGGCAAGCGUUAUUCGGAAUUAUUGGGCGUAAAGGGCGCGUAGGCGGCCUUGUAAGUCUUGGGUGAAAUCCCUCAGCUCAACUGAGGAACUGCCUCGGAUACUGCCGUUCUUGAGGGAUGCAGAGGAGAUUGGAAUUCCCGGUGUAGCGGUGAAAUGUGUAGAGAUCGGGAGGAACACCGGUGGCGAAGGCGGGUCUCUGGGCAUCUCCUGACGCUGAGGCGCGAAAGCGUGGGGAGCAAACGGG